rnacentral:rRNA from 1 species
UACGGAGGAUGCAAGCGUUAUCCGGAAUUACUGGGCGUAAAGGGUGCGUAGGUGGUUUCUUAAGUCAGAGGUGAAAGGCUACGGCUCAACCGUAGUAAGCCUUUGAAACUGGGAAACUUGAGUGCAGGAGAGGAGAGUGGAAUUCCUAGUGUAGCGGUGAAAUGCGUAGAUAUUAGGAGGAACACCAGUUGCGAAGGCGGCUCUCUGGACUGUAACUGACACUGAGGCACGAAAGCGUGGGGAGCAAACAGGAUUAGAUACCCGCGUAGUCCCUGA